GCGCAGGACUGGCUCUCAGAGCGGCAGAGGGGCUGGCGAGCUGGAGAGCCCCGGGGAGCGUGCACUGGAGGCGGGGCCCCUGGUGCGGAGGUGGCUGCCUCGGAGCUCCACAUCCCCCUCAGCCCUGGCUCCCCCAAAAGGCCUCCCACCCAGAGUGCCCCACCAGUGACAGAAGUGACCCAUCCGAGGUCAUAAGUCAUUCUACUUUUGGAAACCUGUCCCAAGAAGACGCUCUCUCAUAUGAACAUUUCAGAUGCAGAGAUGAGUGUUUCUAGUAACAAAAAUUUGCAACAACUUUAAGAGCCAAUGAUGGGAGAUGGCUGCAUGGAUGAUGGCAUGCUCACAGGUACUGG